UACGUAGGUGGCGAGCGUUGUCCGGAUUUACUGGGCGUAAAGCGCGCGCAGGCGGACUGAUCAGUCUGGGGUGAAAUCUCACGGCUCAACUGUGAGCGGUCCCUGGAUACUGUCAGCCUUGAGAUGUCUAGAGGAGAGCGGAAUUCCCGGUGUAGUGGUGGAAUGCGUAGAUAUCGGGAAGAACACCAGUGGCGAAAGCGGCUCUCUGGGGACCAUCUGACGCUGAGGCGCGAAAGCGUGGGGAGCGAACCGG
rnacentral:rRNA from 1 species